UUCCUCAUGGCCCAAUGGUCAAGGCGUCUGACUACGGAUCAGAAGAUUCCAGGUUCGAAUCCUGGUGGGGAAG
rnacentral:tRNA from 1 species